UAAGCCAUGCAUGUCUAAGUACAUGUAGCUUGCCUUACGAACCGCGUAUGGCUCAUUACAACAGCUAUGAUUCUAUUGAUCAUGACACUUAUCCUAUAUGGAUAACUGCGGUAAUUCUGGAGCUAAUACAUGCAUUAAUGCGGGGUCACUAGUUGGCACCGUGCACUUAUUAGAACAAAACCAACUUGUUGAUUUUGUUGACUCGGGAUAAUUAUUACGCUGAUUGCAUGGCCUUGUGCCGGCAAUGUGUCAAAGCUGUGUCUGCCCUAUCACACUUCCAACGGCAGUGUAUUGUCCUGACGUGGUUGUGACGGGUAACGGAGAAUUAGGGUUCGACUCCGGAGAAAUAGCCUGAGAAACGGCUUUUACAUCCAAGGAAGGCAGCAGGCGCGAAAAUUACCCACUCUUAGUACGAGGAGGUAGUGACGAGAAGUGACAAGAUCUGUCCUUUCGAGGGCGGGUCAUUGGAAUGGUUUGAAUUUACAACCUUCCUAGAUUAUCUAUGAGAGGGCAAGUCUGGUGCCAGCAGCCGCGGUAAUUCCAGCUCUCAUACUGCAUUGAAUCGUUGUUGCGGUUAAAAAGCUCGUAGUUGGAUCUGUACACGGCGUCUGUGGACUGCUUCUAGUAGGUGGUUCUGCAGCACGUGUUUAAUGGUCGGUGUGUGGCGAAUCCUUCGGGGUUCGUCGCUGCUGACGAGUUUACUUUGAAUAAAUCAGAGUGCUCAAAACAGGCGUAAGCUUGUAUGGUUUUGCAUGGAAUAAUGGAAUACGACACUGCGUGUGAUUGUUUUUCAUUGGUUUUGCUCACCAGUGUAAUGAUUAAAAGGGACAAACGGGGGCAUUCGUAUCGUCGGGCGAGAGGUGAAAUUCGUGGACCCUGGCGAGACGUACUACAGCGAAAGCAUUUGCCAAGAAUG
rnacentral:rRNA from 1 species